CUUUUGCUGAGGUAAGUGAAACCUUGGCUCCCGGGGUAUGGUCGGAUGUUUCAUCGACCUUAAGAUUGAAACAAAGACGGCAAAGCGAAACAGAAUGAAUGGUCGAUCAAAGUACGGCAUUGGUUGCGCCUUGGGGAUUAACUCUUUUCUCAGCCUUCUCAACUCUUCUUCUUCUGCCAACUGAACACAACAGCAGAAGAUUUGUUUUAUCAGUUUAUAACUUUAUUAGUUUAAGACAUAAGCGUCUCAUGUAGCUCUGCUUUACCUUCUGCUGCCGUUCUCUUUCCA